rnacentral:tRNA from 1 species
GCUGGCUUAGCUUAGCAGGCCAAAGCGCCGCACCCGUAAUGCGGAGAUCCUCGGUUCAAUUCCGAGAGCCAGCC